rnacentral:lncRNA from 1 species
AAAAAGAAAGAAAGUUAUCUCAGUUCUUGAGAGGCAACAGCUGCCAUGCACAGGGUUGCAAGGAGUUCUCUGAGCUACCUGAACCGCUGCGGGUGGUGGAGGGAGGAGGCUAUGGCAGGUGGCAGGUGGGGGUGGUAGACAAUAAACAAAGACAUUUGUGGAAUUGUGUAGACAGAACGUGGGAGCUCUGUAGGGCCCCCAGUGCAUCUAUUUGUCUGCCUUUAGACUAAGACUCAAAGAAUGAACUGAUGACCUCGUAUAUUUCAUUUUAUUAUAUAGUCACUUGAACUUGUUUUCUAUGAACUGUGUCUUCCUUGCAGCUUGCCUUUUAAUUAAACUCUUAAUAUAUCUAUUUAAGACCUCCCCAGACUGAUUAAUCAAGUGCCACCAGGAAACUGAAAUUCCAUCAUAAAACAGUUACUAAUGUGUGAGGGGGGAUUAUUAAAUUGCUGUUUUAUUACAGAAAUUGACAAAGAUCAGUGAUGAAGAGUGAGCAUACUGGAGUCACGUGGCAGCACGCUCAUCUAAUUAAUGAAGUGACAGUUUUAUGCUGUGAAGUAGCAAAAGGACUUGACAAGACUCAUGGCUUUUCUCAUUGACUCUAAAAGCUGGAAUGAUGUUUCUUAACAUUCGCACAAGCCAUGAAUAUCAUAUGUAUUGGGGAAUCAGAAGUAUCAGCCGGUUUGGAGUAUUGGGAGGACACUGGAAGAGCGGAAUUUAAGGUUCAUCUGUUUGAAUUGGAACUUGAGCUCGUCUCAAGAAGUCUGCUUACCACUAUAGGGAAAAGCAAACAAUGAUUGUAUUCUCUGAGAAGCCUCUGGCAGAACACGAAUUUGGAAAAAACAAGCACAUUAGUUUCAGUUUCUGUUGGUCAAGAUGAAAACAGCGGACAAUGAUGAAAUUUAUUAUUGGUGUUCCACCCAUCUCCUACCCACACUUCAAGGUCCACUUCAGGCCCCAGCCCCCAACAAAGCUGUUCAGGACCAGUGACUCUACAAUCUGAGACAAUGUGUACUUGUUGGAAGGACCUUCACAGCAUAUAGUCUAUGAAUCCAUGGGUAAGAGACUUCAUCACAGCCAUGGAAGAAUUAAUGAUGCUUAAUAACUCUUUGUGGACUCAACUGAAUAAAUGACUGACCUUAUAGCAGUUCUGCCAUCAUCUCCAUUCUUUUCCACUUUGGCUCACAAGACCCUACAGGAAUCUGAGGCCACUGACAACACCAACCUCACAUGUUCUCUGUGGGAUCUCAAGACUGCAGAUUUAACCACCUGGUCCUGAACUCAACAACAACCUGCCUACCAAUUACUUUAGUGAUUCAAACAGAAGCUCUUAGCUGCUUGUAUAUUAUGUAUGAUUUUUCUACCACUGCAUCUAGCUGUAACAAAUCCUACAUUUUUAUUCUUUCUAAAUCAAAUUGAUUCUGACUUCGUGCCUACACUAGUCAUGGAACUUCUUUCUCCCAAAGAAAUUCAAACUCUAAUAUUUUUGGAAACAGGUGGCUUAUGUGAGUAUCCAGAAACUGAGGAAAUGUUCUCUAAUCUUCAGUCAACCAUGAUGGUCUCUGAUAUGUAUGUUGUUCAAGUACACAUGAUCUAUUCACAAUAUGUAGACCUGUUACUACUCAAGCUUGGGCAUAGGGGUCUUACUGUAGUCUGGAUUCUUAACACCUGGCAUCAACCUCAAUAGACAUACUAGGAAGGUCCAGGGUGCUAUGAGGAAAUUGUUUCCUGGUAAAACCCUGCUUCGUUGUCAGUCUAUAUGACUUCUCCUUCUUUAGGACCAGCCCUUCUGUCUAACUCACUAGGUAUUUCUCUCUCUUUCUUUAUUUUGGGGCAAAUUCUGCCUGGUAGUGUGACCAUAUGUCAUUCAAAACAGAACACUUCUAAGUCUAAAAGCAAGUAUUAGUUACAACUACAUUAGGAAAGCAGGUGGUAUAAACCAGGAUAUAUGAUUUUCCUAUGUGUAGAUGUGAUAUUGUGAUAUAAUAAAAAAAAAAAUAUGUAUUUGGUCUCUGCCCCUGGUUCCUGGAGUGCAGCUCCAAAAUCCUUAGAAUCUUCCUAUUGAUAAGAUUGUCUUUUGUAUGCUAAUAAGAUGACUGGUGGCUGGUGGCCACUAGAUAGCUUCAGGAUGGGUGUGGUCACUAGAAAGACAAAGGCAUAAUUACAAAGUUGGGAUUUUCAGCCCUACUCUCCCAUCCUCCCAACAUCUAGGGACGGAGGGAAUAGGGGCUGAAGGUUGACUUUAUCACCAAUGGUCAAUAAUUUAAUGAACUUUGCCUACAUAAUAAAGCCUCCAUAAAAUCCCUAAAGGACUGGGUUCAGAGAGAUUCUAGAUUGUUGAACACAUGGAGGUUCCUAGAGGGUGUGCAGCCAAAGAAGGCAUGGAAGCUCCACGCUGCCCCUCCCAACCCCAUACCUUGCCCUAUGCAUCUCUUGGUCUGGCUCUUCAUCUGUGUCAUUUGUAAUAUCCUUCAUAAUAAAUGGAUAAAGAUAAGUAAUAUGUUUCC